rfam:Culex pipiens quinquefasciatus supercont3.20 genomic scaffold, whole genome shotgun sequence.
GGCUCCGUGGCUUAAUGGUUACGGAUUCUGCCUCAUAAGCAGAAGGUUCAGGGAUCAAAUCCCGGCCGGUACCU